rnacentral:rRNA from 1 species
ACGCCGCGUGGAGGAUGAAGGUCUUCGGAUUGUAAACUCCUGUCAUUGGUGAACAAGGUCCGCGGUUAACUGCCGUUGGAUUUGAUAGUAGCCGAAGAGGAAGAGACGGCUAACUCUGUGCCAGCACCCUCGGUGACUGAGCGGGCUGGCAAGGCGCAUA